UACGUAGGUGGCAAGCGUUAUCCGGAAUUACUGGGCGUAAAGCGUGCGCAGGCGGUCUUUUAAGUCAGAUGUGAAAUCCCCGGGCUUAACCUGGGAACUGCGUUUGAAACUGGAAGGCUAGAGUGUGGCAGAGGGGGGUGGAAUUCCACGUGUAGCAGUGAAAUGCGUAGAUAUGUGGAGGAACACCGAUGGCGAAGGCAGCCCCCUGGGCUAACACUGACGCUCAUGCACGAAAGCGUGGGGAGCAAACAGG
rnacentral:rRNA from 1 species